UAGGGAAUCUUCCGCAAUGGGCGAAAGCCUGACGGAGCAACGCCGCGUGAGUGAUGAAGGUCUUCGGAUCGUAAAACUCUGUUAUUAGGGAAGAACAAAUGUGUAAGUAACUAUGCACAUCUUGACGGUACCUAAUCAGAAAGCCACGGCUAACUACGUGCCAGCAGCCGCGGUAAUACGUAUGGAGCGAGCGUUGUCCGGAAUUAUUGGGCGUAAAGGGUACGCAGGCGGUUUAAUAAGUCGAAUGUUAAAGAUCGGGGCUCAACCCCGUAAAGCAUUGGAAACUGAUAAACUUGAGUAGUGGAGAGGAAAGUGGAAUUCCUAGUGUAGUGGUGAAAUACGUAGAUAUUAGGAGGAAUACCAGUAGCGAAGGCGACUUUCUGGACACAAACUGACGCUGAGGUACGAAAGCGUGGGGAGCAAACAGG
rnacentral:rRNA from 1 species